GAGGAGAUUGUUCCCAGGACACCAGGUUCAUGGCUGAUUAACAGAGGAAGGGAAAGAUGAAAUCCACCGACUUAUCUGCUGUAAUCUCACUAGAUCUUUGAAAGUAAGACACAUUAAUGUCUUCACUACCCAAAAGUGUUCUGCACUGUAUAAAUAUUUUGUUUAAGGAGUACUGCCUGUGUGCUCCAUCUCCCAGGGAUACUUGGCUCCUUGCAGAGUUUGUUUGCUCUCAUCUGGGUCCUAGGAUUGGGACAGGCACUCAACCACAACUCUCCCUGCUGUCUGGUUAGAGCUAAAUAAACUUCUCACAACAUUGGCUCCACUCUUGAACCCUCCGUGGGACUUUUCUGAACCUAGUCUCCAUCCCCUGAGCACCUUGACUUCAUGAUCCUAUGCCCAUUGAGACUUCUUUCACCUUCAUGUCUUUGCCACACCAGGUAAGAGAAUUAAUAUUCUCAAAUAUACAAAGCAAGGCUGUGACUCAGUUCACUGGUCAUAGUCUCCUCUCCUCUUUCAUUUAUCAGCAACCCC
rnacentral:lncRNA from 1 species